GAUGAAGAACGUAGCGAAAUGCGAUAAGUAAUGUGAAUUGCAGAAUUCAGUGAAUCAUCGAAUCUUUGACCGCACAUUGCGCCCGCCAGUAUUCUGGCGGGCAUGCCUGUUCGAGCGUCAUUUCAACCCUCAGGCCCCCAGUGCCUGGUGUUGGGGAUCGGCCCAGCCUUCCUGUAAGGCCGCCGGCCCCGAAAUCUAGUGGCGGUCUCGCUGUAGUCCUCCUCUGCGUAGUAGCACAACCUCGCAGUUGGAACGCGGCGGUGGCCAUGCCGUUAAACACCCCACUUCUGAAAGUUGACCUCGGAUCAGGUAGGAAUACCCGCUGAACUUAAGCAUAUCAAUAAGCGGAGGA
rnacentral:misc_RNA from 1 species